rnacentral:rRNA from 1 species
AUUGAACGCUGGCGGCAGGCCUAACACAUGCAAGUCGAGCGGAUGAAGGGAGCUUGCUCCUGGAUUCAGCGGCGGACGGGUGAGUAAUGCCUAGGAAUCUGCCUGGUAGUGGGGGAUAACGUCCGGAAACGGGCGCUAAUACCGCAUACGUCCUGAGGGAGAAAGUGGGGGAUCUUCGGACCUCACGCUAUCAGAUGAGCCUAGGUCGGAUUAGCUAGUUGGUGGGGUAAAGGCCUACCAAGGCGACGAUCCGUAACUGGUCUGAGAGGAUGAUCAGUCAAAAGUGAACAGGAACACGCGCCAGGCCCCAGACGGAGGGAGCCGGGGGGAAUAUUGGAAAAAGGGGCGAAAGCUGACUCCGCCCUUCCGGGGGGGGGGAAGAAGUUCUUCGAUUUUAAAACAAUUUUAGGUGGGGGGAAAGGGAAGAAAGUAAAUCCCUUGUUGUUUGGGGUUAACAAAAAAAAAAGCCCCCGACAAACUUGGUC